GCACACAUUGGAAUUUCGCUAACUCCUCCGAAGGCUUUCGUUCCACCGGCACCACAUUUGCUCAGGCCAAUCUACACCCCAUGGCCAUUAAAAGUUAUUCAAAUCAUGAUGCUGCACCCCACGGUUUAGGUUCUAGGGGGCGCCAAAGAUAACCCUAAGAUCCACAUAUUUAAAAGUCUUAUAACUUUUUAUUUUUGUCCUCACUGGCCUCCAAGUUUUCUAGGAUGAUGCAAUGUCCAGCCAUCAACACAUUUGUGAAGGAAUUUUUACUCGCCAAAAGAGCGCCCCCCCAUGGCAGGAGAAAAAAGUCCAUUUUUUCUUGUCCACUAAGGUGAAAAUACACAUUGUUGAGUGCUACGCCUGUAUGUUUUGUCGUAUUGACACAAAAUUUUACAUACACGUGUAUUUCAAUAAGAUCUUCGAAAAAGUCAAUGGCCACGUAUCUGUAAAAUGUACGGUUAAAGGGUUAUUUCGCAUUUUUUGCAGAUUCGCACACAUUGGAAUUUCGCUAACUCCUCCGAAGGCUUUCGUUCCACCGGCACCACAUUUGCUCAGGCCAAUCUACACCCCAUGGCCAUUAAAAGUUAUUCAAAUCAUGACGCUGCACCCCACGGUUUAGGUUCUAGGGGGCGCCAAAGAUAACCCUAAAAUCCACAUAUUUAAAAGUCUUAUAACUUUUUAUUUUUGUCCUCACUGGCCUCCAUGUUUUCUAGGAUGAUGCAAUGUCCAGCCAUCAACACAUUUGUGAAGGAGUUUUUUCUCGUUAAAAGAGCGCCCCCCCCAUGGCAGGAGAAUAAAGUCAAGUUUUUCCUGUUCAUCAUUCAAUGGCUCAAACGCACUGCUCUCUCGGCAAAAGCGAAAGGAGGAGCAACUUGCCAUUUGGAUAUAUCUUAGCUGUGUUUGUGCCCUCACUCAUGGUCCAGACUUUUUUCAAAUAGGACAUGGAGUUUUUCUGCAGCGAGCGCUUUGGUAGAAACUGCGCCUCCCGUUCACUAUAAUGGUAAUUGACCACAAACAAGUGCGCACACCAUCUUUGGACCUUGAGUGUGACGCGAUCGGGUGGGGGAGGCGGUCGCGCUGGGGGCGGCGUGACACGGCUCACGCCCGCCAGUGCCCCAACGGGGCCCUAGUUAUUAUUAGGGCCCGAGCGUAGCUGCUAAGCAGCUGCGAGAGCCCUAUUAUUCCCCAAGUGGUUUUUCUUUGUUUCUUUUUUCUUUUUCCUCCCCUUUGAACUGGAAAAUGGCCCACUUCCCACUGGCGAAAACUCAUGAAAUUUGGUAGGACGACCGGGCCUGGUGAAAAAUUUGAUAUUCUGAAGUCGCCCAAACAAUACAAUGCAAAAUGGCUCCAUAGCGCCCCCUAAGGUGAAAAAUUCACCUGACGCCUGUACGCUUUGUCAAAAUGACACAAAAAUUGACACACACAUGUAUCUCAAUAAGAUCUACAAAAAAGUCAGUGCGGCCGUAUCUGUCAAAUGUACGGUUAAAGGGUUAUUGCGCAUUUUUUGCCGAUCCGCACACAUUGGAAUUUCGCUAACUCCUCCUAAGGCUUUCGUUCCACCGGCACCACAUUUGCUCAGGCCAAUCUACACCCCAUGGCCAUUAAAAGUUAUUCAAAUCAUGACGCUGCACCCCACGGUUUAGGUUCUAGGGGGCGCCAAAGAUAACCCUAAAAUCCACAUAUUUAAAAGUCUUAUAACUUUUUAUUUUUGCCCUCACUGGCCUCCAAGUUUUCUAGGAUGAUGCAAUGUCCAGCCAUCAACACAUUUGUGAAGGAAUUUUUACUCCCCAAAAGAGCGCCCCCCCAUGGCAGGAGAAAAAAGUCCAUUUUUUCUUGUCCCAUAAGGUGAAAAUUCACAUUGUUGAGUGUCACGCCUAUACGCUUUGUCAAAAUGACACGAAAAUUGACACACACAUGUAACUCAAUAAGAUCUACAAAAAAGUCAAUGCGCGCGUAUCUGUCAAAUGUACAGUUAAAGGGUUAUUCCCCUUUUUUGCCGAUACGCACACAUUGGAAUUUCGCUAACUCCUCCGAAGGCUUUCGUUCCACCGGCACCACAUUUGCUCAGGCCAAUCUACACCCCAUGGCCAUUAAAAGUUAUUCAAAUCAUGAUGCUGCACCCCAUGGUUUAGGUUCUAGGGGGCGCCAAAAAUAACCCAAAAAUCCACAUUCUUAAAUGUUUUAUAACUUUUUUUUUUUGUCCUCACUGGCCUCCAAGUUUUCUAGGAUGAUGCAAUGUCCAGCCAUCAACACAUUUGUGAAGGAAUUUUUACUCCCCAAAAGAGCGCCCCCCCCAUGGUAGGAGAAAAAAGUCAAUUUUUUCUUGUCCCCUUACAUGAAAAUACACAUUGUUGAGUGUCACGCCUGAACGCUUUGUCAUAUUGACACAAAAAUUGACAAUCAUGUGUAUCUCAAUUAGAUCUACGAAAAAGUCAAAGAUUGCGUAUCUGUAUAAUGUACGGUUAAAGGGCUAUUUUGCAUUUUUUGCCAAUUCGCACACAUUGGAAUGUGGCUAUCUCCUCCUAAGGCUUUCGUCCCACCGAUACCAAAUUUGCUCAGGGCAAUCUACACCCCAUGCCCAUACAAAGUUGUAAAAAUCAUGACGCUGCACCCCACGGUUUACGUUCUAGGGGGCGCCAAAGAUGACCCAAAAAUCCACAUUCUUAAAAGUCAUUUUGGCCACUGCAGGAGUACAGAGUACUGCAGUUCUAGGGGGCGCCAAAGAUGACCCAAAAAUCCACAUUCUUAAAAGUCUUUUUGGCCACUGCAGGAGUACAGAGUACUGCAGGAUACACACACAUAUACACACACGCCAACAUACACACACACACACACACACACAGACACACACACACACUCAGAGUCUGUUUUUUAGCACCUGCAAAAACAUGCUGUUUACAUAUUUGACAAGAAUGCAGAGGCUCCUUUUGCCCCUGAAAAAAAUCAAAUUUCAAACAUAACUUGACUGUUCAUUUCUCCAAAAGACAACCAUGAAGCUCCAUUUCAAACCUGAAGCAGAUAGUUGGUGCAUGUGUACAGUAACCUGAGGGGAGUGAGGUGACUAUUUCUGAGGAGAACAUGAGCAGUGAAGAUUCACCUUGGAGCUAGAACAGAGACAUGCACAUGAUUAUACAGGGGCAGGGGCUCAAGUUUUUUCCAGUCAUUUAUACAAUAUGGAAAUUAAUGUGAAAUUAAACCACAAAUAUGUGUGAUGAACUGUUUUUCAAACUUAAACUUCAAAUAAAAAUUGUAAACUUCAAAACAUAUGCAAAUUUUUAACAAAGAACAUAGUAAUUUACCUCUAUUGACAUCAAAAUGCAGGCAAUGGCCCAGGUGAACUUUGUAAAAUUAUUUACAAAACACUGUAUAGUCUCACAAAUGUCACUUUUUAUUUAUGCCACUACAAAAAAACAUGAUGUAAAUGAUGCAUGAUGUAAAACAUGAUGUAAAAAACUUGUGUAGAUCCUCCUCUAUGUCAGUCCAUGUGUAAUUUUUCCAUAAUUCUUUGUUUUUUGCAGCAUUUUUGUUAGUGUAACUGCAGAUUGUGCUGACAGUGUCUAUGGCAAAAAAAAAAAAAAAACUGAAAAUGCCUCAACAUGAACCCCUGGUGGUCUCUGAGGGUGAAACCUGCUAACUGCUGCAGCUCUGUCAGCUUCAGUCUCCCAUGCAGAGCCCGGAGCGCAUGUGUGGCUCUGCACCCUUAGCAGCGUUGCUAACUCCUCAGUAAGGAAAGCCUGCUUCAUGUCAGAGUCUCUAAACUCCAGAAGAAGUCGAUAAAAGUCCCUUUCUUUCUAAAAAGUCGUUAGGGGGUCUGAAAAGUCAUUGAAUCUAACAACAAAGUCGCUAGGUUUGCAACUACGUGUCCCAGACUGCAUCCCUGCUGAGAGUCCCUCCCUCCCUUCUCAUAUUGCAGGAAGAACAUAAGUUCCCGCCCCUUGUCAAUCAGUCACCAUAUAAUUUUGGAUUGGUUGUUGUGGUGAAGUUUUCCACCAAUAGGAGAGAUGUUGUGGUGUGUUUUUUUUUUUCCUUUGGCAAGCCUUUUCCGCCUGUAAGACCUGUCGCUAAUGUCUGCAUGCUAUGUUUUCCUGUCUCAUACAGCGCGAUCGAGCGCCGAACGUGAUCAAAAUAAGCAGAAAAAAAGUAUCGCGGACAUAAUUUAUCAUAACUCUGGUUUUAUUUGGCCUAUCAACACAAUUUAAAAACUGGUAUAUAGGUUGAGGUCCUCACUUUUGAGAUAAAUUGAAACGGAGAGUCAACGAGGCUCCGUCUUGCAGCUACAUCCGGUUAAAUAUGUCAUGUGACUUGAACGCACACACACACACACACACAGACACACACACACACACACGCACACACACACACACACUCAGAGUCUGGUUUGUAGCACCUGCAAAAACAUGCUAUUUACAUAUUUGACAAGAAUGCAGAGGCUCCUUUUGCCCCUGAAAAAAAUCAAAUUUCAAACACAACUUGACUGGUCAUUUCUCCAAAAGACAACCAUGAAGCUCCAUCCAAACCUGAAGCAGGCAGUUGGUGCAUGUGUACAGUAACCUGAGGGGAGUGAGGUGACUGCUUCUGAGGAGAACAUGAGCAGUGAAGAUUUACCUUAGAGCUAGAACAGAGACGUGCACAUGAUUAUACAGGGGCAGGGGCUCAAGUUUUUUCCAGUCGUUUAUACAAUUUGGAAAUUAAUGUGAAAUUAAAAAACAAAGUAUUAAUAGAAAGGUAAUGACUGUCCUGUGUAGGUGACAGUGAUAUCCAAUAGGCUAGGCACUCACGAGGCUGGCUGUGGCAAGUGUAAGUGAAAGCAACACGCACUGGCAGGAAGAACAGCAAACGCCGAUGAAGGAAAAGGGUCUUUGCAGUGAUGGGCGUUACCAAAGAGGGCGAUGGCCAGAGGACACAAAUGGGACGGGGAGGCAGCGCGUUGGGGGGGGGGGACGCGACACAGCUCGGGCCCGCCAGUGCCCCAACGGGGUCCUAGUUAGGGCCCGAGCCAGCUGCAGAGCAGCCGGGCGUAGGCCCUGUUAUUCCUGUAGGGGUUUUUCUUUGUUUCUUUCUUUCUUCUUUUUCCUCCCCUUUGAACUGGAAAAUGGCCCACUUCCCACUGGCGAAAACUCAGGAAAUUUGGCAGGACGACCGGGCCUGGUGAAAAAUUUGAUAUUCCGAAGUCGCCCAAACAAGAAAAUGCAAAAUGGCUCCAUAGCGCCCCCUAAGGUGAAAAUUCACACUAUUGACUGUCACGCCUGUACGCUUUGUCAAAAUGACACAAAAAUUGACACACACAUGUAUCUCAAUAAGAUCUACAAAAAAGUCCAUGAGCGCGUAUCUGUCAAAUGUACGGUUAAAGGGUUAUUUCGCAUUUUUUGCCGAUCCGCACACAUUGGAAUUUCGCUAACUCCUCCGAAGGCUUUCGUUCCACCGGCACCACAUUUGCUCAGGCCAAUCUACACCCCAUGGCCAUUAAAAGUUAUUCAAAUCAUGACGCUGCACCCCACGGUUUAGGUUCUAGGGGGCGCCAAAGAUAACCCUAAAAUCCACAUUUUUAAAAGUCUUAUAACUUUUUAUUUUUGCCCUCACUGGCCUCCAAGUUUUCUAGGAUGAUGCAAUGUCCAGCCAUCAACACAUUUGUGAAGGAAUUUUUACUCCCCAAAAGAGCGCCCCCCCAUGGCAGGAGAAAAAAGUCCAUUUUUUUCUUGUCCCCUAAGGUGAAAAUUCACACUAUUGACUGUCAUGCCUGUACGCUUUGUCAAAAUGACACAAAAAUUGACACACACAUGUAUCUCAAUAAGAUCUACAAAAAAGUCAGUGCGGGCGUAUCUGUCAAAUGUACGGUUAAAGGAUUAUUGCGCAUUUUUUGCCGAUCUGCACACAUUGGAAUUUCGCUAACUCCUCCGAAGGCUUUCGUUCCACCGGCACCACAUUUGCUCAGGCCAAUCUACACCCCAUGGCCAUUAAAAGUUGUACAAAUCAUGACGCUGCACCCCACGGUUUACGUUCUAGGGGGCGCCAAAGAUAACCCAAAAAUCCACAUUCUUAAAAGUCUAAUAACUUUUUAUUUUUGUCCUCACUGGCCUCCAAGUUUUCUAGGAUGAUGCAAUGUCCAGCCAUCAACACAUUUGUGAAGGAAUUUUUACCCCCCAAAAGAGCGCCCCCCCAUGGCAGGAGAAAAAAGUCCAUUUUUUCUUGUCCCCUAAGGUGAAAAUACAUAUUGUUGAGUGUCACGCCUAUACGCUUUGUCAUAUUGACACAAAAUUUGACACACACGUGUAUCUCAAUAAGAUCUACGAAAAAGUCAAUGCGCACGUAUCUGUAAAAUGUACGGUUAAAGGGCUAUUACGCAUUUUUGAUCGAUUCGCACACAUUGGAAUGUGGCUAACUCCUCCUAAAGCUUUCGUUCCACCGGCACCAAAUUUGCUCAGGCCAAUCUACACCCCAUGGCCAUUAAAAGUUGUACAAAUCAUGACGCUGCACCCCACGGUUUACGUUCUAGGGGGCGCCAAAGAUAACCCAAAAAUCCACAUUCUUAAAAGUCUUAUAACUUUUCAUUUUUGUCCUCACUGGCUUCGAAGUUUUCUAGGAUGAUGCAAUGUCUAACCAUCAACACAUUUGUGAAGGAAUUUUUACUCCUCAAAAGAGCGCCCCCCCAUGGCAGGAGAAAAAGUCAAGUUUUUCCUGCCCAUCGCUCAAUGGCUCAAACACAUGUAAUGUGUUCAAACUCCUCCGAAAGGAGGAGCAACUUGCCAUUUGGAUAUAUCCUAGCUGUGUUUGUGCCCUCACUCAUGGUCCAGACUUUUUUCAAAUAGGACAUGUAGUUUGUCUGCAGCGAGCGUUUUGGUAGAAACUGCGCCUCCCAAUCAUUAUAAUGGUAAAUGACCACAGACAAGUGCGAACACCAUCUUUGGACCUUGAGUGUGACGCGAUCGGGAGGGAGAGGCGGUCGUGUUGGGGGCGGCGCGACACAGCUCGGGCCCGCCAGUGCCCCAACGGGGCCCUAGUCUUCUUAUUAUUUUUCUGCCCCUUUGAACUGGAAAAUGGCCCACUUCCCACUGGUGAAAAGUCAUGAAAUUUGGCAGGACGACCAGGCCUGGUGAAAAAUUCGAUAUUCUGAAGUCGCCCAAAAAAUCAAAUGCAAAAUGGCUCUAUAGCGCCCCCUAAGGUGAAAAAUUCACAUGAUUGAGUGUCACGCCUGUACGCUUUGUCAAAAUUACACAAAAUUUGACACACACGUGUAUCUCAAUAAGAUCUACAAAAAAGUCAGUGCGGGCGUAUCUGUCAAAUGUACGGUUAAAGGGCUAUUUCGCAUUUUUUGCCGAUCCGCACACAUUGGAAUUUCGCUAACUCCUCCGAAGGCUUUCGUUCCACCGGCACCAAAUUUGCUCAGGCCAAUCUACACCCCAUGGCCAUUAAAAGUUGUACAAAUCAUGACGCUGCAUCCCACGGUUUACGUUCUAGGGGGCGCCAAAGAUAACCCAGAAAUCCACAUUCUUAAAAGUCGUAUAACUUUUUAUUUUUGUCCUCACUGGCCUCCAAGUUUUCUAGGAUGAUGCAAUGUCUAGCCAUCAACACAUUUGUGAAGGAAUUUUUACUCCCCAAAAGAGCGCCCCCCCAUGGCAGGAGAAAAAAGUCCAGUUUUUCUUCCCCCCUAAGGUGAAAAUUCACAUUAUUGAGUGUCACGCCUGUACGCUUUGUCAUAUUGAAAUAAACUUUGACAAUCACGUGUUUCUCAAUAAGAUCUACGAAACAGUCAAUGGGCGCGUAUCUGUAAAAUGUAUGGUUAAAGGGCUAUUUCGCAUUUUUGGUCGAUUCGCACACAUUGGAAUGUGGCUAACUCCUCCUAAAGCUUUCGUUCCACUGACACCAAAUUUGCUCAGGCCAAUCUACACCCCAUGGCCAUUAAAAGUUGUACAAAUCAUGACGCUGCAUCCCACGGUUUACGUUCUAGGGGGCGCCAAAGAUAACCCAGAAAUCCACAUUCUUAAAAGUCGUAUAACUUUUUAUUUUUGUCCUCACUGGCCUCCAAGUUUUCUAGGAUGAUGCAAUGUCUAGCCAUCAACACAUUUGUGAAGGAAUUUUUACUCCCCAAAAGAGCGCCCCCCCAUGGCAGGAGAAAAAAGUCCAGUUUUUCUUCCCCCCUAAGGUGAAAAUUCACAUUAUUGAGUGUCACGCCUGUACGCUUUGUCAUAUUGAAACAAACUUUGACAAUCACGUGUUUCUCAAUAAGAUCUACGAAACAGUCAAUGGGCGCGUAUCUGUAAAAUGUAUGGUUAAAGGGCUAUUUCGCAUUUUUGGUCGAUUCGCACACAUUGGAAUGUGGCUAACUCCUCCUAAAGCUUUCGUUCCACUGACACCAAAUUUGCUCAGGCCAAUCUACACCCCAUGGCCAUUCAAAGUUGUAAAAAUGGCAGGAGAAAAAGUCAAGUUUUUCCUGCCCAUCGCUCAAUGACUCAAACACAUCGCUCUCUCGGCAAAACCGAAAGGAGGAGCAACUUGCCAUUUGGAUAUAUCCUAGCUGUGUUUGUGCCCUCACUCAUGGUCCAGUCCUUUUCAAAUAGGACAUGUAGUUUGUCUGCGGCGAGCGUUUUGGUAGAAACUGUGCCUCCCAUUCAUUAUAAUUGUAAAUGACCACAGACAAGUGCGCACACCAUCUUUGGACCUUGAGUGUGACGCGAUCGGUAGGGAGAGGCGGUCGUGUUGGGGGCGGCGCGACACGGCUCGGGCCCGCCAGUGCCCCAACGGGGCCCUAGUUCUUCUUCUUCUUAUUAGGGCCCGAGCGUAGCUGCUAAGCAGCUGCGAGAGCCCUAUUAUUCCCCAAGUGGUUUUUCUUUGUUUCUUUCUUUCUUUCUUUCUUCUUUUUCCUCCCCUUUGAACUGGAAAAUGGCCCACUUCCCACUGGCGAAAACUCAUGAAAUUUGGCAGGAUGACCGGGCCUGGUGAAAAAUUUGAUAUUCCGAAGUCGCCCAAUCAAGAAAAUGCAAAAUGGCUCCAUAGCGCCCCCUAAGGUGAAAAUUCACACUAUUGACUGUCACGCCUUUACGCUUUGUCAAAAUGACACAAAAAUUGACACACAUAUGUAUCUCAAUAAGAUCUACAAAAAAGUCAGUGCGGGCGUAUCUGUCAAAUGUACGGUUAAAGGGUUAUUCCGCAUUUUUUGCCGAUCCACACACAUUGGAGUUUCGCUAACUCCUCCGAAGGCUUUCUUUCCACCGGCACCACAUUUGCUCAGGCCAAUCUACACCCCAUGGCCAUUAAAAGUUAUUCAAAUCAUGACGCUGCACCCCACGGUUUAGGUUCUAGGGGGCGCCAAAGAUAACCCUAAAAUCCACAUAUUUAAAAGUCUUAUAACUUUUUAUUUUUGUCCUCUCUGGCCUCCAAGUUUUCUAGGAUGAUGCAAUGUCCAGCCAUCAACACAUUUGUGAAGGAAUUUUUACUCCCCAAAAGAGCGCCCCCCCAUGGCAGGAAAAAAAAAUUCAAUUUUUUCUUGUCCCGUAAGGUGAAAAUUCACAUUGUUGAGUGUGACACCUGUACGCUUUGUCAUAUUGACACAAAAUUUGACAAUCACGUGUAUCUCAAUAAGAUCUACGAAAAAGUCAAUGGGUGCGUAUCUGUCAAAUGUACAGUUAGAGGGCUAUUUUGCAUUUUUUGCCGAUUCGCACACAUUGGAAUGUGGCUAACUCCUCCUAAGGCUUUCGUCCCACUGAAACCAAAUUUGCUCAGGCCAAUCUACACCCCAUGGCCAUUCAAAGUUGUAAAAAUCAUGACGCUGCACCCCACGGUUUACGUUCUAGGGGGCGCCAAAGAUGACCAAAAAAUCCACAUUCUUAAAAGAAUCCACAUUCUCCCCCCCCCAUGGCAGGAGAAAAAGUCAAGUUUUUCCUGCCCAUCGCUCAAUGGCUCAAUCGCAUCGCUCUCCAGGCAACACCGUAACGAGGAGCAACCUGCCAUUUGGAUAUAUCCCAGCUGUGUUUGUGCCCUCACUCAUGGUCCAGACUUUUUUCAAAUAGGACAUGAAGUUUGUCUGCAGCGAGUGUUUUGGUAGAAACUGCGCCUCCCAUUCAUUAUAAUGGGAAAUGACCACAGACAAGUGCGCACACCAUCUUUGGACCUUGAGUGUGACGCGAUCGGGAGGGGGAGGCGGUCACGCUGGGGGCGGCACGACGCGGCUCGGGCCCGACAGUGCCCCACCGGGGCCCUAGUUAUUAGGGCCCGAGCGUAGCUGCUAAGCAGCUGCGAGAGCCCUAUUAUUCCCCAAGUGGUUUUUCUUUGUUUCUUUUUUCUUUUUCCUCCCCUUUGAACUGGAAAAUGGCCCACUUCCCACUGGCGAAAACUCAUGAAAUUUGGCAGGACGACCGGGCCUGGUGAAAAAUUGGAUAUUCCGAAGUCGCCCAAACAAUACAAUGCAAAAUGGCUCCAUAGCGCCCCCUAAGGUGAAAAUUCACACUAUUGACUGUCACGCCUUUACGCUUUGUCAAAAUGACACAAAAAUUGACACACAUAUGUAUCUCAAUAAGAUCUACAAAAAAGUCAGUGCGGGCGUAUCUGUCAAAUGUACGGUUAAAGGGUUAUUCCGCAUUUUUUGCCGAUCCACACACAUUGGAGUUUCGCUAACUCCUCCGAAGGCUUUCUUUCCACCGGCACCACAUUUGCUCAGGCCAAUCUACACCCCAUGGCCAUUAAAAGUUAUUCAAAUCAUGACGCUGCACCCCACGGUUUAGGUUCUAGGGGGCGCCAAAGAUAACCCUAAAAUCCACAUAUUUAAAAGUCUUAUAACUUUUUAUUUUUGUCCUCUCUGGCCUCCAAGUUUUCUAGGAUGAUGCAAUGUCCAGC